rnacentral:rRNA from 1 species
GACGAACGCUGGCGGCGUGCCUAAUACAUGCAAGUCGAACGCAGUGGGGACGGGUGAGUAACACGUGGGUAACCUCCCAUCAGAGGGGAUAACACUUGGAAAAAGGUGCUAAACCGAUCCUGAUGGAUGGACCCGCGGUGCAUUAGCUAGUUGGUGAGGUAACGGAUCACCAGGGCAACGAUGCAUAGCCGACCGGAGAGGGUGAUCGGCCACACUGGGACUGAGACACGGCCCAGACUCCUACGGGAGACAGCAGUAGGGAAUCGUCGGAAAUGGACGAGAGUCUGACCGAGCAACGCCGCGUGAGUGAAGAAGGUUUUGGGAUUGUAAAACUCUGUUGUUAGAGAAGCGGUAUCUAACCAGUAAGCCACGGCUAACUACGUGCCAGCAGCCGCGGUAAUAC